rnacentral:rRNA from 1 species
UACGGAGGGGGCAAGCGUUACUCGGAAUUAUUGGGCGUAAAGGGCGCGUAGGCGGUCGUGUGCGUCGGAGGUGAAAUCCCCGGGCUUAACCCGGGAGCUGCCUCCGAUACGGCACGGCUUGAGUCCGGGAGAGGGGAGCAGAAUUCCCAGUGUAGCGGUGAAAUGCGUAGAUAUUGGGAGGAAUACCAGUGGCGAAGGCGGCUCCCUGGACCGGUACUGACGCUGAUGCGCGAAAGCGUGGGUAGCAAACAGG